rnacentral:rRNA from 1 species
ACGCUGGCGGCGUGCCUAAUACAUGCAAGUAGAACGCUGAAGCUUGGUGCUUGCACCGAGCGGAUGAGUUGCGAACGGGUGAGUAACGCGUAGGUAACCUGCCUCUUAGCGGGGGAUAACUAUUGGAAACGAUAGCUAAUACCGCAUAAAAGUCGACAUUGCAUGAUGUUGACUUGAAAGGUGCAAUUGCAUCACUAAGAGAUGGACCUGCGUUGUAUUAGCUAGUUGGUGAGGUAACGGCUCACCAAAGCAACGAUACAUAGCCGACCUGAGAGGGUGAUCGGCCACACUGGGACUGAGACACGGCCCAGACUCCUACGGGAGGCAGCAGUAGGGAAUCUUCGGCAAUGGGGGCAACCCUGACCGAGCAACGCCGCGUGAGUGAAGAAGGUUCUCGGAUCGUAAAGCUCUGUUGUAAGAGAAGAACGAGUGUGAGAGUGGAAAGUUCACACUGUGACGGUAACUUACCAGAAAGGGACGGCUAACUACGUGCCAGCAGCCGCGGUAAUACGUAGGUCCCGAGCGUUAUCCGGAUUUAUUGGGCGUAAAGCGAGCGCAGGCGGUUAGAUAAGUCUGAAGUUAAAGGCUGUGGCUUAACCAUAGUACGCUUUGGAAACUGUUUAACUUGAGUGCAGAAGGGGAGAGUGGAAUUCCAUGUGUAGCGGUGAAAUGCGUAGAUAUAUGGAGGAACACCGGUGGCGAAAGCGGCUCCCUGGUCUGUAACUGACGCUGAGGCUCGAAAGCGUGGGGAGCAAACAGGAUUAGAUACCCUGGUAGUCCACGCCGUAAACGAUGAGUGCUAGGUGUUGGGUCCUCUCCGGGACUCAGUGCCGCAGCUAACGCAUUAAGCACUCCGCCUGGGGAGUACGACCGCAAGGUUGAAACUCAAAGGAAUUGACGGGGGCCCGCACAAGCGGUGG